rnacentral:lncRNA from 1 species
CUUGGCGGCCAUGGCAGCUGUAGUAUUGGCGGCUCAGGGUCAGGGCCUGGCUGAGGGAAGUACCAUGGGUAGCACCGGGUGUAGGACAGAGACAGCGUCGUAUCGACUUUGCUGUUGAAUCCUCCAGCCCAUUGUUAGAGACUUGCAGGACAUCUUGCCCGACUCUAGACUCGAAAGGUACUUUGCUGGCACUGGUGGGCUGGUCCCUUCCCUGGGGGCGUAUCACCUGCGGUGCCACCCCUGGGAACUGGUACCGCGUGUGGAGAAGACACUUGGGUUUACCUUUUUUUUUCCUGCUGCUACCAGGGACGUUGUCUUGGGGAGCGGGUCGUCGUGUCACCCUCAUUCUGACGAUUAAGGAGAUCUCUUUUUGCACAAUUUCUCCAUCUGUUACCUACCGGAAUCCCAGUGACUGGCAACCAAGUACCUAAGACUGCGCAAAGUUUUCUCUGGUGCUAGUAUCAGCAAAAGGAGCUUGCUUCUUAAGAGAGCGGCGGGCUUCAUGAACUCACCGGCCGGUGGCAAGGCUGAAAGAAGUGAGGAAAUUCCCGUUUUCUUGGAAGACCACACGUUUAAACAGCCCAAGCGCCGUUUGAAACUGGAAUUUUAAAGCCUGGUGGAGGGGUGACUACAGGAGGGCAGAAUGGAUGACUUUCUCUCCAUUAGUCU